AAAGAGCAUCAAUUUCAACAAUUUAUUAACCCUAUGGUUUGCUUACAUCUCAUUCAAUCUAAUGUAAAAUUAAUGUUACACCUUCUCUUAAUAACUCGAAUUAUAGAAAGCAGUGGUUCAUUGACAUUGUAUAUCUGAGCAUUUGACUGACACAGGGUAAAAAUUAUUGAAGUUAAUGCAAAUCUCAAGACUUUUGUGACAGCUUCCAUUUGAGCAGCGUAGGAUAUUGUGUAUUUCUGGACCCGGAAAACCCUGAUCAAAUGAACGAGAUGCUCCCCGGAUUUUAUACCGAAGCGACGAAGGUAAUGUAAACGAGACUCUCAAAAUCUUACCGGGGAAUCGGCUGGGGAAGAACAAGCGAAGCACAACAGCAACAAGCGCAACCCAUUUCCCAACUUCCCCUCUGUAGACAAAAUCCAAAAGAAAAGGUCAACGAACAUUUCAAACACUGAUCUCAGUUUGAAACCCAAUCAAGCAAAGAUUCGACCAAAUCAGAAGUUAAUUUACCGGAGGAAACUGAAGAGGAAAUGAGGCAAGGUGAAGAAGAUGUAAGGGAUGAGUAACCCCGUCAGAAUGUUGGUCUUCCAAUUCGUCCGAUCCAGUAUCAGUAGAUAUCUGUUGCAUAUACAAAACGAUCCAACCUCAGCUCAAUUGAGACGAUACAAAACAAACGAAAAGAAAUUAGGGCUUCCAGCGAGCAUUUUACAUGGCGGAGAUUGCAGCGAGCCACUGGAACAGGGAGGUUCCGAAUCCGGCAACGGCUCCGACGUGGAUUGCUAAGUUCUUCGCUGCGGCGGUUAGGUCGUUGAAAUCGGAAGCGAUCAGUGCGGUGCUUGCUCCGUCGAUCUUCAUAGCUAAGUAGCUCUGUCUCGCCAUUGUUUCAGCUCUCUCUAAGAGUAAAGGAUUUCCUCUACAGAGAUAUUAAUAGUAGUUUUAAUUACUCUGGAUAAGUGAUGGUUAAGCAAAUGAGUUGACUUGUUGACUGAGUGCAUUAUUUGUGUAGGCCACGUGAGCGCUUGCUGGCGAAACACGACUUGUAGAUGUUCGACACGUGGCCAAUAAUUCUAUUAUUGGAUAUUAUUUUAUUUUUGUUUGAGCUGUUAAGUUUUGGAUUCAGUGAGCUGGGACGUCUAAUGAAGUACAGCUGCCGACAUUAAUCAUUACAAGAAUCAAAUUAUAUGAAUGUCGAGAAAAAAUAUCUUAAUAAGCUGCGGUGAUGGGAAAGCGAGGCUCGCGCUCUGCUGGCCGCAAUGAGGUGGGUGUCGGAUGCUGGCUAUAAGAAUGUGGUGGUUGAAACGGACGCUAAAGAGGUCGUGGAUCGGCUGACAGGCUUGGAGAACUUGGCGAUAUCUUGACCCAACGUCGCACGAUCCUGAUGAGGGUUGUGUCUUUCCGGAUAUCGUUUGUUAGGAGGUGCAGGAACAAUGGUGGCACACAACGGCUUACAAUGUACGCUUGAGCGAUAUGUAUGUUCGUAAUUCGUUAGUCAACAAUCAAUUCGAGUCACAGACUCGGACUCCGACAAGCAGGUUUUUCUGGCAAAGGUCGGGGCUCUAGCUUUUAAGCCGAGAGAAAGACACGAACGAGAGCGCGUACGGCAGAACAACAACAUCGUCAAAUUUGAUAACAUUGUUGUCCAAAGCCAUUGGUUUUGAUUGAAUCGCAGAAAAGGAACACAAAAACAAACACUGAUGAAGAACUCAGAAACUGAAGAAAUCACAGUUUUCGUCUCUCUCAGAGAAUGCUUCUGAUCAAAGAGUAGGCAGGGUAAACAAAGAGGAGACAAAUUCCGAUGGUGUUGGAGAUUCCUGCUUCUUUGGUGAAGGCGUUCUUGAACCCGCCGGAGGCUCUGAUGUGUUCUUGCAGCAAGUAGCAGGCGAUUCCGAGGCAUAUCGCUACUCCGAUCCAGUUCCCUCUAGCGUAGCCGGCAAUCAACUCUGGCGCCACCACUAUUAGCAGGAUCGACGAAGCCGGCAUCUCUAGCCAUUCUGUACCAAAAAAAUUCCAACAACUUGAAAAAGCUUUAACAUUCAUGACAUAUAAAGGGCGAAAUGUCAAGUUUUUGAAUCCCAAUAAUUCCUAAUCCUCAACACUUAUAGACUUAAAGGUGUAAAAAAUUAUUGGAUCCCAACAACUCAAAAAUUUUCGAUCAAGGGUUUAUACCCUGUUUUUAUAUUAUUUAUUAACAUGCAUCUUUAACUUUCAAUGUGAGAUUUCCACGAUUUUGUUUAAGUUAUAUCCACAUAUUGAAGAUUAUCCGUAUUUGAAACAGAGGUCUCUUGCUCAUUAAAAACUCUAAUACCAUGUCAAAACAAUAACAUUUUAAUAACUAAUUCGAUUAGUUGAAAAAUAGUUUAGAAUGAUUUUAGAUUAUUCGCUAGCACCCCUCCUCCUCAAAGGGAAGGAUACAAGGGUUGGAGUUUUGCAUAAUUCCGAUAAAUUUUGUGCAAUAAAUUUUGGAUUGCCGGAAUUCGAACGAUAAUCUUUUGUUACACAAAAUGUCUGAUACCACAUCAUGAACAAUAUUUCUUCGACAAAAAGUUUUGCAAACCUUAUACCCUUCCCAAAACUUCGGUUUACGCCAGACUCUAUAAUCUCACCUGCGAAUUGGCUGGGGAAGAACAGGCGAACCACAAUAGCGACGAGCGCAGCCCAUUUCCCAAUCUCCCCUCUGUAAACAAAAAUCCAGAUAAAAAAUGGUUCAAUGAACAUUCAAUUCAUCAGUUUGAAAUCCAAUCAAGCAAAGAUUUGACCUAAUCAUAACUAUACCGGAGGAAACCGAAGAGGAACUGAGGCAAGGUGAAGAAGAUGUAAGGGAUGAGUAACCCUGUGAGAAUGUUAGUCUUCCAAUUCGUCCGAUCCAGUAUCAGUAGAUAUCUGUUACACAUACAGAACGAUC
rnacentral:lncRNA from 1 species